rnacentral:rRNA from 1 species
GGAAUCUUCCACAAUGGGCGCAAGCCUGAUGGAGCAACACCGCGUGAGUGAAGAAGGGUUUCGGCUCGUAAAGCUCUGUUGUUAGAGAAGAACGUGCGUGAGAGUAACUGUUCACGCAGUGACGGUAUCUAACCAGAAAGUCACGGCUAACUACGUGCCAGCAGCCGCGGUAAUACGUAGGUGGCGAGCGUUGUCCGGAAUUACUGGGCGUAAAGGGCGCGCAGGCUGUUCUGCAAGUCAGCUGUUAAAUGGUACGGCUUAACUGUAUUAUGCAGUUGAAACUACAGGACUGGAGUAAUGGAGAGGCAAGCGGAAUUCCCAGUGUAGCGGUGAAAUGCGUAGAUAUUGGGAAGAACAUCGGUGGCGAAGGCGGCUUGCUGGCCAUAAACUGACGCUGAGGCGCGAAAGCCAGGGUAGCAAACG